rnacentral:rRNA from 1 species
ACUACGGGAGGCAGCAGUGGGGAAUAUUGGGCAAUGGGCGCAAGCCUGACCCAGCAACGCCGCGUGAAGGAAGAAGGCUUUCGGGUUGUAAACUUCUUUUCUGAGGGACGAAGAAAGUGACGGUACCUCAGGAAUAAGCCACGGCUAACUACGUGCCAGCAGCCGCGGUAAUACGUAGGUGGCAAGCGUUAUCCGGAUUUUGUGGGGGUAAAGGUCGUGUAGGCGGGAAAGCAAGUCAGAUGUGAAAACUCAGGGGUCAACCCUCAGACUGCAUUUUAAACGGUUUUUCUUGAGUGCUGGGGAGGCAAUGGGCAUUCCGUGUGUAGCGGUGAAAUGCGUAGAUAUACGGAGGAACACCAGUGGCGAAGGCGGAUUGCUGGACAGUAACUGACGCUGAGGCGCGAAAGCGUGGGGAGCAAACAGGAUUAGAUACCCCUGUAGUC